rnacentral:rRNA from 1 species
GACGUAGGGCGCGAGCGUUGUCCGGAUUUAUUGGGCGUAAAGAGCUCGUAGGCGGCUUGUUGCGUCGGCUGUGAAAACCCGCAGCUCAACUGUGGGCUUGCAGCCGAUACGGGCAGGCUUGAGUUCGGUAGGGGAGACUGGAAUUCCUGGUGUAGCGGUGAAAUGCGUAGAUAUCGGGAGGAACACCAGUGGCGAAGGCGGUUGCCUGGAGCUUUGCUGACGCUGAGGCGCGAAAGCGUGGGGAGCGAUCCGG